GGUCACAUUCCGAACCCGGAAGCUAAGACUCUCAGCGCCGAUGGUACUGCAGGGGGGACCCUGUGGGAGAGUAGGACACCGCCGGAC
rnacentral:rRNA from 1 species